rnacentral:rRNA from 1 species
GGACCAGACUCCUACGGGAGGCAGCAGUGGGGAAUAUUGCACAAUGGGGGAAACCCUGAUGCAGCGACGCCGCGUGAGUGAAGAAGUAUUUCGGUAUGUAAAGCUCUAUCAGCAGGGAAGAAAAUGACGGUACCUAACUAAGAAGCCCCGGCUAACUACGUGCCAGCAGCCGCGGUAAUACGUAGGGGGCAAGCGUUAUCCGGAUUUACUGGGUGUAAAGGGAGCGUAGACGGCAUGGCAAGUCAGAUGUGAAAGCCCGGGGCUCAACCCCGGGACUGCAUUUGAAACUGUCAGGCUGGAGUGCAGGAGAGGUAAGUGGAAUUCCUAGUGUAGCGGUGAAAUGCGUAGAUAUUAGGAGGAACACCAGUGGCGAAGGCGGCCUGCUGGACGGUAACUGACGCUGAGGCUCGAAAGCGUGGGGAGCAAACAGGAUUAGAUACCCGUGUAU